GAUGAACGCUAGCUACAGGCCUAACACAUGCAAGUCGAGGGGCAUCGGGCGUUGGACUUGUCCGACGUGCCGGCGACCGGCGAAUGGGUGAGUAACGCGUAUCCAACCUGCCCGCCAGCCAGGGACAGCCUCCCGAAAGGGAGAUUAAUACCUGACGUUGUGACGAUGGGGCAUCCUGUUGUCACGGAAGAUUUAUCGUUGGUGGAUGGGGAUGCGUCCGAUUAGCUGGUUGGUACGGUAACGGCGUACCAAGGCUACGAUCGGUAGGGGUUCUGAGAGGAAGGUCCCCCACAUUGGAACUGAGACACGGUCCAAACUCCUACGGGAGGCAGCAGUGAGGAAUAUUGGUCAAUGGACGGGAGUCUGAACCAGCCAAGUAGCGUGCAGGACGACGGCCCUAUGGGUUGUAAACUGCUUUUAUAGGGGGAUAAAGUGUGCCACGUGUGGCAUAUUGCAGGUACCCUAUGAAUAAGGACCGGCUAAUUCCGUGU
rnacentral:rRNA from 1 species